rnacentral:rRNA from 1 species
AGCGAACGCUGGCGGCAGGCCUAACACAUGCAAGUCGAACGAACUCUUCGGAGUUAGUGGCGGACGGGUGAGUAACACGUGGGAACGUGCCUUUAGGUUCGGAAUAACUCAGGGAAACAUGUGCUAAUACCGAAUGUGCCCUUCGGGGGAAAGAUUUAUCGCCUUUAGAGCGGCCCGCGUCUGAUUAGCUAGUUGGUGAGGUAAAGGCUCACCAAGGCGACGAUCAGUAGCCGGUAUGAGAGGAUGAUCAGCCACAUUGGGACUGAGACACGGCCCAAACUCCUACGGGAGGGAGCAGUGGGGAAUCUUGCGCAAUGGGCGAAAGCCUGACGCAGCCAUGCCGCGUGAAUGAUGAAGGUCUUGGGAUUGUAAAAUUCUUUCACCGGGGGCGAUAAUGACGGUACCCGGAGAAGAAGCACCGGCUAACUUCGUGCCAGCAGCCGCAGUAA